AUUACCAGCCCUGCGAUAGACUGGCGUCCUGUCCAGGGUGUACCCCACCUCACGCCCUAUGACUACUGGGAUAGGCUCCAGCCCUCCACGUGACCUUACUUGGAGUAAGUGGGUUUGGAAAAUGAAUGGAGGAUUAAUGUAAACAUGACA